UGUGGUGCGAUGGAGAGUGAGGUGCUAUAAGAGAUCCGAGAAGAGGUGAGAGAGAGGGGAAGGAGGGGGAGAGGAACAGCGUGAAGGGAGUCCCCUCUUUGGCCCUCUUUGCUCGUUUGCUCUAUUUGCUAUUUUGCUGUUUGGGGGAAUCUCGCUACCACCUGAGAAUGAUGCGAUUUCCUCUGAAUCUGUGCUGGAGUUCUUAGGAUCUGAGGGUGAAAGGGAUCAGAAGGGGAAACAUUCUACCUUGGUGAGGAUUCUCUGCCGAAUAUGGAGUCUCUGCUGCGAUUUGGGUUUGGGGAUUGGAGUUGGAGAUGGGAAGAAGCGAAAUGGUGAGCAUUUGCUGACAAAGUCGGGUUCUUUUAGGGGGGGUGAAAUGGGAUUUUGGAAGAUGGUAUUGCGUUGUUCUGGACUUGUGGUUUUGUAGUCAGAAGCCUGUAGUUUCUGCCGCUCUUGUCCUCGCGCUGUGGAGUGGGUUUCUAGGGUUUGGGAGUAUUAGGGCUUCUGUUGAGGAGUUGAUAGAGGUUUGGAGUUUCGUCAGGGAGGUAUAGGUUUCUUUCAUUCGGCUUAGGGUUUCAUAGUGUUGACGAAGGCGAGCUGGGUUUGGGCUUUGAGGUCAUCGUGAAGGGAGUUCCUAGAAAAAGCUUGGACACGGAGUGAGAUUUCUCGUAUGCUCUGAACUUAAUUGGUAUUUCUUUGGUUCAUUCUCCGGUAGCAGUGCUUCUACUCGAAGAAAGGAAUUUGGGAAAGAAAGAAGGAAGUUACGAUGGAUUUGCUCUGUUAAAAGCAUUCGCCUGAAAAACUAGUUGGACCAUGAUCACAUUCAGCAGCGAACCCGUCAAAGAAUCGAUGAAGGACUCCGACAAGUGCUUGGACUCCCAGCUCUGGCACGCAUGCGCCGGCGGGAUGGUUCAGAUGCCGGCGGUGAACUCGAAGGUGUAUUACUUCCCCCAGGGCCACGCAGAGCACGCCCAAGGCAUCGUGGACUUCGGGAGCUCCCCCCGUGUCCCGGCGCUCCUCCUCUGCCGGGUGACUGCUGUGAAAUUCAUGGCAGAUCCAGAGACCGACGAGGUCUUUGCCAAGAUCCGGAUGAUUCCAGUUCGGUCGGACGAGCCGGACUAUGGCGACGAUGAUGGAAUGGGCCUCGGUGGCAACGGGGCUGAUGUGCAAGAAAAGCCUGCUUCUUUUGCCAAGACACUGACCCAGUCGGAUGCCAACAAUGGCGGGGGCUUCUCUGUUCCUCGCUACUGUGCCGAGACCAUCUUCCCACGGUUGGACUACUCGGCCGACCCUCCAGUCCAGACUGUUCUCGCCAAGGAUGUGCAUGGCGAGGUCUGGAAGUUCAGGCAUAUAUACAGAGGGACUCCUCGCCGGCACUUGCUUACCACCGGGUGGAGCACUUUUGUGAACCAGAAGAAGCUUGUUGCUGGGGAUUCGAUUGUGUUCCUGAGAACAGAGAAUGGGGAUCUUUGUGUGGGGAUCAGACGGGCCAAAAGAGGGGUUGGCGGGGGGCAUGAGUCCCCGUCUGGGUGGAAUCCUCCCACUGGAAACUGUUUCUCAGCCUAUGGGGGUUUAUCUGUCUUCCUGAGGGAAGAAGAAAAUAAGUUGAUGAGAAGCAAUGGAAGUGGCGGUAUCUUGAAUUCUGGUGGGACUAUUAUGAGGGGAAGGGGUCGAGUGAGGGCCGAAUCCGUUAUCGACGCUGCAAAUCUUGCAGCUAAUGGCAAGCCUUUUGAGGUAAUUUACUACCCAAGAGCCAGUACGCCUGAGUUCUGUGUGAAAGCUGCAGCUGUUAGAGUAGCGAUGCGGAUCCAGUGGUGUCCUGGGAUGAGAUUUAAGAUGGCUUUUGAAACUGAGGAUUCCUCGAGGAUUAGCUGGUUCAUGGGAACUAUAUCUUCUGUUCAGGUUGCAGAUCCGAUAAGAUGGCCUAAUUCACCUUGGAGACUUCUUCAGGUGACAUGGGAUGAACCAGACUUAUUACAGAAUGUGAAACAUGUGAGCCCGUGGCUUGUUGAACUGGUUUCUAACAUGCCAGCUAUCCAUUUAACACCCUUCUCCCCACCACGGAAGAAGCUUCGCGUCCCCCAGCACUCUGAUUUUCCCAUUGAUGGCCAAUUUCCAACUCCGGUGUUUCCAGGAAACCCCCUUGGGCCCGGCAGCAGCCCGUUGUGCUUCUUUCCAGACAGCACUCCUGCAGGCAUACAGGGAGCCAGGCAUGCUCAAUUUGGUAUAUCUCUAUCAGAUCUCCACCUUAACAAACUGCAGUCGGGUCUGUUCCAUGCUGGGCUUCAAAGGCUUGAUCAAGCCACUCCACCCUCUAGAAUCUCCACAGGACUUCUCAUUGGCAAUCCUGCCAUUCAUGACAAUGUAUCUUGUUUGCUAACUGUGGGCAAUCCUUCUCAGAGCACAAAGAAACUAUGCAAUGGAAAGACACCUCAGUUAGUGCUCUUUGGACAGCCAAUACUCACUGAACAGCAGAUAUCUUUGAGCAAUUCUGGGGACAUAAUCUCCCCUGGAGUUACUGGAAACAGUUCAUCAGAUGGGAAUCCUGAAAAGACCACAAACAUGUCAGAUGGUUCUGGCUCUUCAGUUCAUCAAAAUGGGCUUGCAGAGAAUUCGUCAUGUGAAGGAUUUCCAUGGUACAGGGAUCGCCGAGCAUCCGAGCUUGGUCUGGAGACUGGACAUUGCAAGGUAUUCAUGGAAUCAGAGGAUGUAGGUCGCACCCUGGACCUUUCUGUCCUUGGUUCAUACGAAGAGCUGUAUGGGAGGCUAGCUGACAUGUUUGGGAUUGAUAAAUCAGAAAUGAUGAGCCAUGUGCUUUACCGAGAUGCAGCAGGUGCAGUUAAGCAAACUGGAGGUGAACCCUUCAGGAUCCUAUAGGAGCUUGCAUUCCUCCUUUCGUAGCAUUUUCGUUUCUUCCUGUUACUUUCAUCUCUUCUGCGAGUUCACCAAGACAGCACGGAGGCUGACGAUAUUAACGGAUUCGGGCAGCGACAACAUAGGAAGGAAUGCAGUUGUUUCAUGAAUGCGCGUAUGGCGUUACUGGAAGCCUUCGCAGAAAUUGUUCCAUAUGUUCAUAUGACUGGUCAAUAAGCGCUUGAUCCUAUUUAGUAAGAAAAUGGAUGUAAUCAAUUACGUUUUUUUUUGUUUCCA